GACGAACGCUGGCGGCGUGCUUAACACAUGCAAGUCGAACGAGUGGGAACGGGUGAGUAACGCGUGGGUAACCUCCCAUCAGAGGGGAUAACACUUGGAAACAGGUGCUAAACCGAUACUGAUGGAUGGACCCGCAGUGCAUUAGCUAGUUGGUGAGGUAACGGCUCAACAAGGCCACGCUGCUUAGCCGACCGGAGAGGGUGAUCGGCCACACUGGAACUGAGACACGGCCCAGACUCCUACGGGAGGCAGCAGUAGGGAAUGUUCGGCAAUGGACGAAAGUCUGACCGAGCAACGCCGCGUGAGUGAAGAAGGUUUUCGGAUCGUAAAGCUCUGUUGUUAGAGAAGCGGUAUCUAACCAGAAAGCCACGGCUAACUACGUGCCAGCAGCCGCGGUAAUAC
rnacentral:rRNA from 1 species